rnacentral:lncRNA from 1 species
GCAGCUCUCCCUGAAGCUUCUGGUCUUGGGCUGGAUGGAGACUGAGGGGUGGAAGGCUCUCGGGACCCCCGAUCAGCUGCCCGAGCAGCAGGUUCGGCAUAGCAGGCACCGUGAACGUGACUGGGGACGAGGUGAAGAAGCUGGACGUCUUGUCCAACUCCCUGGUGAUCAACAUGCUGCAGUCCUCCUACAGCACCUGCGUGCUGGUGACGGAGGAGAACAAGGACGCCCUCAUCACCCCUAAGGAGAAGCGGGGUAAAUAUGUGGUAUGCUUCGACCCUCUGGAUGGCUCAUCCAAUAUAGACUGCUUGGCACCCAUAGGAACGAUAUUCGCUAUCUACAAAAAGGU